GCUUGUCUCAAAGAUUAAGCCAUGCAUGUCUUAGUGUAAAUAACUCUUAUGAAACUGCGAAUGGCUCAUUAAAUCAGUUAUCGUUUAUUUGAUGGUCCCUUACUACAUGGAUAACCGUAGUAAUUCUAGAGCUAAUACAUGCACAAAGGCCCGACUCACGAAGGGCUGUAUUUAUUAGAUAAAAGACCGACCGGACUUUGUCCGACCCGCGGUGAAUCAUGAUAACUUCACGAAUCGCACAGGCUUGUCCUGGCGAUGUUUCAUUCAAAUUUCUGCCCUAUCAACUUUUGAUGGUAGGAUAGAGGCCUACCAUGGUGGUAACGGGUGACGGAGGAUUAGGGUUCGAUUCCGGAGAGGGAGCCUGAGAAACGGCUACCACAUCCAAGGAAGGCAGCAGG
rnacentral:rRNA from 1 species